ACUCCUACGGGAGGCAGCAGUGGGGAAUAUUUGGGACAAUGGGGGAACCCGUGAUCCAGCCAUGCCGCGUGUGUGAAGAAGGCCUUAUGGUUGUAAAGCACUUUAAGCGAGGAGGAGGCUACUGAGACUAAUACUCUUGGAUAGUGGACGUUACUCGCAGAAUAAGCACCGGCUAACUCUGUGCCAGCAGCCGCGGUAAUAC
rnacentral:rRNA from 1 species